rnacentral:rRNA from 1 species
UACGAAGGGGGCUAGCGUUGCUCGGAAUUACUGGGCGUAAAGCGCACGUAGGCGGCUUUCUAAGUCGGGGGGUGAAAUCCUGGAGCUCAACUCCAGAACUGCCCUUCGAUACUGGAGCUUGAGUCCGGGAGAGGUGAGUGGGAACUGCGAGUGUAGAGGUGAAAUUCGUAGAUAUUCGCAAGAACACCAGUGGCGAAGGCGGCUCACUGGCCCGGUACUGACGCUGAGGUGCGAAAGCGUGGGGAGCAAACAGGG